rnacentral:rRNA from 1 species
GGGUCAGUAGGUUGGUCGUGCCACCGGUACGUACUGGUCUCACUGAUUCCUCCUUCCUGAAGAACCGUAAUGCCAUUAAUUUGGUGUUGCGGGGAAACAGGACUGUUACUUUGAAAAAAUUAGAGUGUUUAAAGCGAGCUAACGCUUGAAUACAUUAGCAUGGAAUAGUGAAAUAGGACGAUCGAUCCUAUUUUGUUGGUUUCUAGGAUUGACGUA